rnacentral:rRNA from 1 species
UGGCGCACGGGUGAGUAACACGUAGGUAAUCUACCUUUGAGUGGGGAAUAACUUAGGGAAACUUAAGCUAAUACCGCAUAAUGCAAUAACAUCUAUGAUGUAUUUGUUAAAGGGGCAAUCCGCUUAAAGAGGAGCCUGCGGCAGAUUAGCUAGUUGGUAAGGUAAUGGCUUACCAAGGCUACGAUCUGUAACCGACCUGAGAGGGUGGUCGGUCACACUGACACUGAAUAACGGGUCAGACUCCUACGGGAGGCAGCAGUCGGGAAUUUUGGGCAAUGGGCGAAAGCCUGACCCAGCAACGCCGCGUGAAGGAUGAAGUCUUUCGGGAUGUAAACUUCGUAAGAAUGGGAAGAAUAAAUGACGGUACCAUUUGUAAGGUCCGGCUAACUACGUGCCAGCAGCCGCGGUAAUACGUAGGGACCAAGCGUUGUUCGGAUUUACUGGGCGUAAAGGGCGCGUAGGCGGCGUGACAAGUCAGUUGUGAAAUCUCCGAGCUUAACUCGGAACGGUCAACUGAUAC